rnacentral:rRNA from 1 species
UACGUAGGGUGCAAGCGUUGUCCGGAAUUAUUGGGCGUAAAGAGCUCGUAGGCGGUUUGUCGCGUCUGCUGUGAAAUCUGGGGGCUCAACCCCCAGCCUGCAGUGGGUACGGGCAGACUAGAGUGCGGUAGGGGAGAUUGGAAUUCCUGGUGUAGCGGUGGAAUGCGCAGAUAGUCAGGAGGAACACCAAUGGCGAAGGCAGAUCUCUGGGCCGUAACUGACGCUGAGGAGCGAAAGCAUGGGGAGCGAACAGG